rnacentral:rRNA from 1 species
ACGUAGGUGACAAGCGUUAUCCGGAAUUACUGGGCGUAAAGCGCACGCAGGCGGCUGAUUAAGUCUGACGUGAAAUCUCCUGGCUUAACCGGGCGAGGACAAUGAAGACUGGUCAGCUAGAGGACGGUAGAGGGGUGUGGAAUUCCGCGUGUAGCAGUGAAAUGCGUAGAUAUGCGGAGGAACACCGAUGGCGAAGGCAAUCCCCUGGGCCUGCACUGACGCUCAUGCACGAAAGCGUGGGGAGCAAACAG